rnacentral:tRNA from 1 species
AACAAGGUAUUUUAUAAAGAAUAGCUGGUUUGCGUCUAGUUGGUGGCACACGCCCUUUGUUA